rnacentral:misc_RNA from 1 species
GAUGAAGAACGCAGCGAAAUGCGAUAAGUAAUGUGAAUUGCAGAAUUCAGUGAAUCAUCGAAUCUUUGAACGCACCUUGCGCCCUUUGGCCAUUCCGAAGGGCAUGCCUGUUUGAGUAUCAUGAACACCUCAACUCUUCAUGGUUUUCCAUGAUGAGCUUGGACUUUGGGGGUCUUGCUGGCCUGUGGGUCGGCUCCUCUCAAAUGAAUCAGCUUGCCGGUUUUUGGUGGGCAUCACAGGUGUGAUAACUGUCUACGCUUGUGGUUUUCCACCAGGGUAACCUUCAGCAGUGGAGGUUCACUGGAGCUUACAAAUGUCUCUCCUCUGUGAGGACAGCCCUUUGAAUGUUUGAUCUCAAAUCAGGUAGGACUACCCGCUGAACUUAAGCAUAUCAAUAAGCGGAGGA